UGCGUAACACGUAUGCAACCUACCCAUAACAGGAGAAUAGCUCCCCGAAAGGGGAAUUAACCCUCCAUAGUAAUAUUGAAUGGCAUCAUUUGAUAUUUAAAACUCCGGUGGUUAUGGAUGGGCAUGCGUCUGAUUAGUUAGUUGGCGGGGUAAUGGCCCACCAAGACGAUGAUCAGUAGGGGAACUGAGAGGUUGAUCCCCCACACUGGCACUGAGAUACGGGCCAG
rnacentral:rRNA from 1 species